rnacentral:rRNA from 1 species
UGCAGGAGGUUGCUGCUACUAGGGUUCGGUUAAGCCAUGCAAGUUCUGGGGUCGCAAGACACCGGCGUAAUGCUCAGUAACACGUUGACAAUCUGCCCUCAAGUCUGGGAUAACCUUGGGAAACUGAGGCUAAACCCGGAUGGAAGAAUUUUUCUGGAAAGAAUUUUCUUCAAAAAGCAAUGCUUGAGGAUGAGACAGCGGCUGAUUAGGUUGUUGGUGGGGUAAUGGCCCACCAAGCCGACGAUCAGUAAGGGCCUUGAGAGAGGGUGCCCUGAGAAGGGAACUGAGAUACUGUCCCUAGCCUUACGAGGUGCAGCAGGCGCGAAAACUCUGCAAUGCACGAAAGUGUGACAGGGGAACCCUAAGUGCUUAUGUUUAACAUAGGCUUUUGCCAAGAGUAAAUAUCUUGGAGAAUAAGUGGUGGGUAAGACGGGUGCCAGCCGCCGCGGUAACACCCGCGCCACAAGUGGUGACCAGUUUUAUUGGGCCUAAAGCGUCCGUAGCCUGUUUGAAAAAUCUUUUGUGAAAUUGUUGCGCUUAACGUAACAGCAUGCAAAAGACACUACCAAACUUGGGACCGGGAGGAGUCAGAGGUAUUUCUGGGGGAGCGGUAAAAUGCGAUAAUCCUAGAAGGACCACCUAUGGCGAAGGCAUCUGACCAGAACGGAUCCGACGGUGAGGGACGAAAGCCAGGGGAGCAAACCGGAUUAGAUACCCGAGUAGUCCUGGCUGUAAACGCUGCGAGCUAGGUGUUGCACAAUCUUCGUGAUUGUGCAGUAUCGAAGCGAAGGUAUUAAGCUCGCCGCCUGGGAAGUAUGGUCGCAAGGCUGAAACUUAAAGGAAUUGGCGGGGGAGCACUACAAGGGGUGCGGCGUGCGGUUUAAUCUAACUACACAGAGAAUCUCACCAGGAGCGACGGCAGAAUGAAAGUCAGAUUAAAGGUUUUACUUGACGAGCCGAGAGGUGGUGCAUGGCCGCCGUUAGCUCGUGCCGUAAGGUGUCUAGCUAAGCCUAGUAACGAGCAAGACCUACGUCUACAAUUGCUAACGAGGGAUUUUUCCAGAUCGAGCACAUUGUAGAGACUGCCCGUGAAAAUGGGAGGAGGGUGUAGGCUACGGUAGGUCUGUAUGCCCCGAAUCUUCUGGGCUACACGCGCGCAACAAUGGUCGGGACAAUGGGAUACAACUCCGAAAGGAGAAGUUAAGCCUCGAAACCCGAUCCAAGUCCAGAUUGAGGGUUGUAACUCACCCUCAUGACGUUGGAAUCCCUAGUAAUCGGACGUCAACAGCGUCCGGUGAAUACGUCCCUGCUCCUUGCACACACCGCCCGACAAACCACUCGAGCAGGGUCUAGAUGAGGCUUGGUUUAUUGAUCAGGUCGAAUCUAGGCUCAGUGAGAAGGGUUAAGUCGUCACAAGGUA